UUAGAAAGUGGUCUAUCUGAAUGUUUCUAGAUUCUGUGACCGGAGAUGAUGCCGCUGCUUACAGAUGCCAGCAAGAGCUAUACAACUCUGUGCCAAGAGCACAGACAAAAUACUCUGCUGCUGUACGUUAGUAUAGGUUACAGAAGUAGAUGGGCUGAGCUGCUUUAUGUUAGCUAAGGAUAUAUAGAAAACUUUUUAAUGUACCUUUUUUCAGCUAUUCUUUCCACAACAACAUUUCUGUCUUAACACAUUUAGCUUAGUGCUGUAAGUGCUCUGCUCUGUGUUUGCCCUGCUAGUAUGGUGGGAUGAGAGGCCAGUGCAAGAUCCUGCAAGCAGUGAAGGUGGCAUGUUCAGAUUCAGAGAAAUAUUAAACAAAUCCAGAAACACCAGCUCCAUGCUAGAGAACCUCUUAGAGUGUAGAUUCAGUUUUGUGAGAAAGACAUCUAGGCAGGUGAAGCUGAAACAGCAUCCUGGAUCCUGAACCUUGCUAUGAAAUUCCUUUGCUGUUCCAGGUUUUCUAGAAAAAUGCCUGACACAGAACAAUGCUCACUCCCUAGGAGUUUAGGUAAAGACAGGAGAAAAUAUUGGUGCUACUUGAACAAAUCUGUGUGCAUUCUGUACAAUUAAUCUCCCUUUCUUCCAGGGUUCAGUGUGCUGCUGAAGCUCUUGGACUCAGAGAAUGAAAUAAUCGUGGGAAAUGCUGCUUUCUGCCUUGGCCAGUGCCUUGCAGUUCCUGGAGCAGCGACGUCCUUACUGAAUUCCAAUGUUGUGAUGAUUUUGUUGAAACAUGCUGGUGGUGAUGCUACAAGAACUUCAGUGCAGGAGAAUGCAGCAAUUGCUCUGGGGAAGCUUUGUGUCGCUGAAUCAAGGCAUAUUUUUCAGCUGCGGAAACUCAAUGGACUGGCCAUCCUGAACUCCUCUAUGAAAUACAUUCAUAGCAUCUGAAAUCUUCAAGAGAGCUUCAAAAUGUGCUGUUAAUAUUGCUUGCUGUUGAGUAUUUUCUUCUUUUCUUUAAUAAAACUAACUCAAAGCACAUCAACUUUUCAAUCCCUUUUCAAAGUCCUCCAUAGAAGCCAGUGAAACAAUAUCAAUAUAAGUAUCAGGAGAAAGAAGUUAAUUUAUUAUCUAGGCUAACAACUACACUAAGAGCUUCCGUUAAGCUUGUCUUUGCUUUAAUAAUUCAUGUUGCCCUCUUACUGGCAAGUUCCUUGCUGAAUAAUCAUUGACCAAUGGCUCACCUAGUCUACUUUCCGGUUUGGGUCCAGUACCCAGCAUAUUAGAAGAAAAUAAAAACAAAUUGUGGGUUGUGACUUUGAAGAAUCCUUUCUGUGUGUGUGCGCCCCCCCCCCCAAUAUGCUGUCCUCUGGUGGCUAGAUUAUGAUUCAGUAUCUCAUGUGUGAUAUUGCCUUACAUUUUGCUUAAACCUUAAAUCUCAUACUUACUUGCUUAAAUAUGUUGGUCUUAAUUUCACUAGUCUUAGUGAUAACUUAUGACAAUGAGGUUUGUGUAUGAAUUAUGGGCUGUUUAUUUUAGUAGUGUUACGCUUACUAUCUUUGUAAAUUUGUAAAUGGUAUCCCUUGGUCCAUUACUUUUGUGUGGAGUAAGAACAGUAGUUGACCUUCCUGAUCUUAAGUAUUUUCACAUGGCCCCUUGUCUUCAUCUCUAAUAUCCUCUACAGUUACUCAUUUUUGAAACAAUAACACAAAUGGCACAUCCUUCUAGCAUCUGUGUUUUCUGGAGAGGUCAAAAAUGAAUUACUACUAAGGGCAAGUGUAAUUUGAAAAGAAAGGCAGUCAUGCAUUACUCUUACCUCUUCUGUGUUCUUCAAAAAAAGGCAGUUUAAGAUGCUUCUGGAAAGCAUAUCUGCUGGGGACUCUGGUGGUGGUGCUAACAGAACAGCAGCUAUAGUACUGGUGGCAGAAGCCUGUCAAAUUUAACGAAUAGUCUCUUCACAAAUAAACAGAUGCACCUAGACACAAACCUA
rnacentral:lncRNA from 1 species